AAAAAGAGGAAUAAAUACUUUGAGAAAACAAAGUAUAUAAAAAGGCCAAAUUAACUGGACUUAAAACAUAACGGGUUAUAACUUCCCGAACCCGUUAAAGUAACUAGGAGUAAUUAACCUAGUUAGUAACAUGUGACUAAAUAAAUAAUGAAUUAUAGUUUCAUUUGAUCAAAAUAAAAACAUGAGGGACUAAAAAGGGGCAAUUGUGAAAGUUGUAUGAUUAAAACAAAAAUAAACCACACCAAACACACAAUUAGUGUGUGUCUGGUCGAUGUUAAACACAGGGGGCGACCAGGUUUCUCCAUCAAACCCCAAAUCUCCCAAAAUUCACAAACUGAAGCCUCUAAUCUGCUCCAAAUCAAGUUUCAAGCAUGAAUUAGUGAUCAUCUCGUUGCGGGGAUCAAAAGUUUGACGCGUAACAAGCUAGGUGGAAGCUUGAUGAGGGAGCGGGUCAAACGAAUCAAGAAGGAAAGGAAAAAGCAUAGUUCGGACACGAGGAAAUAAAUAGCACAUGGAUGCUUACAUCGCUAUCGCUUAGCAGCCACUAAGGAAAUGUAUUGAAACGGGUCAAUAUAUUGAUUCGAGCCAGGUAUGUAUAAUAAUACAACUCAUCAUGUAGAGCUUGGAGUUUUAUAAUAGUUAGACGAGGUUAAAAUAAGAUAUCCGGUUAUCUUUUAGGUAAACCGAAUAAGUUGAGUUAUGAUUAAGGUGUUUUAGAAACAUAUUGGUUUCUAAACAAGAAUAUGGUUAAAGGGUCGGAUUUGGGGUUCAAACAAGCACUAAUAGUCCUUCGUUGUAAAAGAAUGACUAAAAUUGACUAAAACGCCCUAGUUGGCUAAUUCGAAUGAACAACCUUUAAAGGUAGUUUUGAAACGAGUUUUAUGAUUAAAUAAAAAAUUGAAAUAAGUGCAAGAAGCGAAAGAUGUAAACUUUCGGUCAAAUAACUCUAUAUGAGUCUUUGCCGUAAAUUAGCAAUCGGACGAGAAAAACUCGGAUUAUAUAGAUCAUCUCAUUAAGUCCCCCACAAUUAUAGUUGUGGUGGAAGAUUACUUAAUAAGAAUGUUGUAUAUAACGCUAGAAGUGAAUGAAAGCGACUUUAAGCUUUAAAGUGCUUAAAUACCCUUAACGGGUCAAAAUAAGCACUUGAACGUAAACGGGUUCUAACUAAGUAAGAAACCCAUGAUCUAUGAAUUAUUUGAUAGGAAAUAUUGAAAUUAUGAUUCCAUGAGUUUAUGGAUCAAGUAAACAUGUUUGUGUGAUAAAAUCGCGAACGGGUCAAAAUUUGGUAAAAAUGGUAAUAAGCCGAAGACUUAAAAGUCUUAAAUUUUUGUUAAUCCGGAUGUCGGAUUUUAACUCCAUAUGAUGGAGAAUUAAAUUACGGACGCGUAGGAAAAAGAAUCGUGUAAAACGGAUUAAAAACGAGAGAGUUAUGUCCGUUUCGGUAAGAACUAAUGAAAAAUAGACGUGCAGAGUUGACACGGGCGGGUGACUUUUGACACGGCCGGGUGGCUGGGCUGUGAAAAAUAUAUGUUAACUGACACGGCCGGGUGACCUUUUGACACGGCCGGGUGAAGGGGCUGAAAACAAAACAAAAAUAAUUUCUUGUUUUGUUACGUUAAGCACGGAACUUGUUUAUACUCGAUUAUUAAAGUGUCAAAACUAAUUAUUUACAUGGUUUUGACCGUAGGUGAAGAUGGGAUAAGCGGUUUGAAAGAUACGAAAGUUUUCGUGCAAAUAAACGGCAAAAUAGGAAAGCUGGAAUGCAGGGGCCACCGUAACUUACGGUGCCACCGUAAGUUACGGUGGAGCUGAAGGCUUUACGGCAGCCCCCUACUGAUUUACGGUUCUUUUUGGAUGCCGGAAGACGAUCAAGCCCAUCGAAGGACCGAACACGAUAAAGAUACAUGCUUCCGCACAUUUCCUCGUCGUAAAUUUUUAAACGACAAAUUCGAUCACUUAUGUUGAGUAACUUAUGAUUUGUAAAAGUUUUAAUAAACUCGUAUUUUCAUAG